rnacentral:rRNA from 1 species
GUGGAUUAGAUACCCUGGUAGUCCACGCUGUAAACGAUGGGCACUAGGUGUGGGGGGUGUCGACUCCCUCCGUGCCGAAGCUAACGCAUUAAGUGCCCCGCCUGGGGAGUACGGCCGCAAGGCUAAAACUCAAAGGAAUUGACGGGGACCCGCACAAGCAGCGGAGCAUGUGGUUUAAUUCGACGCAACGCGAAGAACCUUACCUGGGCUUGACAUGUUCCUGACAGCUCUGGAAACAGAGUCUCCCUUCGGGGCAGGAUCACAGGUGGUGCACGGCUGUCGCCAGCU